rnacentral:rRNA from 1 species
CAGUCGGAAACGACUGCUAAUCCGCAUAGGACAUAGGAUCACAUGAUCCAGUGAGGAAAGGUGGCACAAGCUAUCGCUAAGAGAUGGACCCGCGGUGCAUUAGCUAGUUGGUAGGGUAAAGGCCUACCAAGGCGAUGAUGCAUAGCCGACCUGAGAGGGUGAUCGGCCACAUUGGGACUGAGACACGGCCCAAACUCUACGGGAGGCAGCAGUAGGGAAUCUUCCGCAAUGGACGCAAGUCUGACGGAGCAACGCCGCGUGAGUGAAGAAGGUCUUCGGAUCGUAAAGCUCUGUUGUUAGAGAAUGAACAGCGCAUGA